CUACUUACCUGGCAGGGGAGACACCAUGAUCACGUAGGUGGUUUUCCCAGGGUGAGGCUCCGCCAUUGCACUUUGGGCUGUGCUGACCCCUGCGAUUUCCCCAAAUGCGGGAAACUCGACUGCAUAAUUUGUGGUAGUGGGGACUGCGUUCGCGCUCUCCCCU
rnacentral:snRNA from 1 species